GGCUCCAGGGGUGGGGCGGGCCGCCACACUAGGGGGACACUGACCGCACCGCGGAUGCUCGCCCCGCUUUGCCUCACGCCCGCCCCACCCGCUGGGCCCGGCGCCGCACCCUGCGACAGCGAGCACGCCCUCGGCACUGGCCUGCGGCAGCCGGAGCAGCCUCGGCCGUGCGGCCCGAGGCGGGCAGGGAGAGGGUGGCGGCCGGGAGAGACAUGGCGAGCCGCCGGGCGCCAGGGGAGAAGCGUUGGCAGCUGGUGCGCUGGUACGUGCAGGAAGGGCGUUUCCGAAUCGAGGAGAGAACGCUGACAGCCUUCCAGUGGCUCUACAGCCCUCAGCAACAUCGCAUCCUCAGUCGUGCUGACCUCGAGUCUCCCUCCAGGAUCGACAAGACCAUGCUGGCAAGCCUGAAGGUCAAGAAGCAGGAGCUGGCCAACAGCUCGGAUGUGACCCUCCCAGACCGGUCGCUGUCCCCUCCUCUCACGGCGCCUCCCACCAUGAAGUCGGCGGAGUUCUUUGAGAUGUUGGAGAAAAUGCAGGGGAUCAAGCUUGAAGAGCAGAAGCCGGGACCCCAGAAGAAGAAGGAUGACUAUAUCCCGUAUCCCAGCAUCGAUGAGGUUGUGGAGAAAGGAGGCCCGUACCCCCUGAUUGUCCUGCCCCAGUUUGGGGGCUAUUGGAUUGAGGACCCGGAGAACGUGGGCACACCGACCUCCCUGGGCAGCAGCAUCUGCGAGGAGGAGGAAGAGGACGGCCUCAGCCCCAACACCUUCGGCUACAAGCUCGAAUGCAAGGGCGAGGCCCGGGCCUAUCGCAGGCACUUCCUAGGGAAGGACCAUCUAAACUUUUACUGUACUGGCAGUAGUUUGGGAAACUUGCUUCUGUCCAUCAAGUGCGAGGAGGCCGAGAGCAUUGAGUACCUUCGGAUCAUUCUCAGAUCCAAGGUGAAGACAGUGCAUGAGCGGAUUCCCUUGGCUGGACUGAGCAAGUUACCCAGCAUCCCUCAGAUUGCAAAGGCUUUCUGUGAUGAUGCAGUGGGGCUGAAAUUCAGCCCUGUCCUGUACCCCAAGGCCUCCCAAAUGAUUGUGUCGUAUGACGAGCACGAUGUCAAGAAUACCUUCAAAUUUGGGGUCAUUUAUCAGAAAGCCAGGCAGACCCAGGAGGAGGAGCUGUUUGGGAACAAUGAAGAGAGCCCAGCUUUCAAGGAGUUCUUGGACCAGCUGGGAGACACGAUCACCCUGCAGGACUUCAAAGGUUUCCGAGGAGGCCUGGAUGUGACCCACGGACAGACGGGAGUGGAAUCAGUGUACACGGCAUUCCGGGACAGGGAGAUCAUGUUUCACGUCUCCACAAAGCUGCCGUUUACCGAGGGUGACGCCCAGCAGCUCCAGAGAAAGAGACACAUUGGGAAUGACAUCGUGGCCAUCAUCUUCCAAGAAGAAAACACACCAUUUGUCCCCGAUAUGAUUGCCUCCAACUUUUUACAUGCCUACAUUGUGGUGCAGGUUGAGAGCCCGGGCACAGAGACCACAUCCUACAAGGUCUCAGUCACUGCGCGGGAAGACGUGCCCACCUUUGGCCCACCUCUGCCCAGUCCCCCUGUUUUCCAGAAGGGCCCGGAGUUCAGGGAAUUCCUGCUCACCAAGCUCACCAAUGCAGAGAACGCUUGCUGCAAGUCGGACAAGUUUGCGAAGCUAGAGGAUCGGACAAGGGCCGCCCUCCUAGACAAUCUUCACGACGAGCUGCAUGCCCACACACAGGCCAUGCUGGGACUGGGCCCAGAAGAGGACAAGUUUGAAAAUGGGGGCCACGGGGGAUUCCUGGAGUCUUUUAAGAGGGCCAUUCGCGUGCGCAGCCACUCCAUGGAGACCAUGGUGAGCAGCCAGAAGAAGCCUCACAGUGGGGGCCUCCCUGGCAGCCUCAGCGGGGGCAUCUCCCACAACAGCACGGAGGUCACCAAGACCACCUUCUCGCCUCCAGUGGCAGCGGCAACAGCGAAGAACCAGUCACGAAGCCCCAUCAAGCGACGGUCGGGGCUCUUCCCCCGUCUGCACACAGGCUCUGAAGGCCAAGGGGACAGCCGGGCACGAUGUGACAGUGCAUCCAGCAACCCCAAGACCCCGGAUGGUGGGCACUCUUCUCAGGAGAUAAAGUCUGAGACCUCAUCGAAUCCCAGCUCUCCGGAAAUCUGCCCCAACAAGGAGAAGCCCUUCAUAAAGUUGAAGGAGAAUGGCCGAGCCAACAUCUCCCGCUCCUCCUCCAGCACCAGCAGCUUCAGCAGCACGGCAGGGGAGGGCGAGACCUUGGAGGAGUGUGACAGUGGGCCAGCCGUCCACAACCUCACCCUUCAAGCAGGAGGUGUUUGUCUACAGCCCGUCCCCGAGCAGCGAGAGCCCCAGCCUGGCAGCAGCCGCCACCCCCAUCAUCAUGAGCCGGAGUCCUACAGAUGCCAAAAGCAGAAACUCCCCGAGGUCAAACCUGAAAUUCCGCUUUGAUAAGCUCAGUCAUGCCAGCUCCAGUGCGGGUCACUAAUAUAGAAGAGGAGUCCUUCGCCUGUCAAAGGGAAGCUCUGAUUCUGUCUCGGAGAAGGCUCCUAUUCCAGCAUUUGGGGGUGUCGUCCACUACUCUGUCACAGGCCUGCUGCCCCACUGGCCACCUGCCCACCAGACCAGCUGUCUGUCUCAGUGUCCAGACCUGGCCCAGCCCUGCCUGCCUCUUCGCCAAGACACCCUGCCAGCCCCUCCUCAUCUCUAGUCCAGGCCUCCUUCCUCCAAGCUCCCCUGCUCCUGACCACCCAAUUUGCUAUGUGUCUGGGUCGUUUGUCAUCUUGUUUUGUCUGCAGAGGCAAGAGUUGGGUAAGGGGGGAUCUGGGUACUGGUGACUCAGAGACCGGAGAGGCAGAGAGAGUGGCGAGGUGGGGAGCAGAGGCUGGCAGCAGGGGAAGGGACAGUGCUCUAUCCUGGAGGUGGCAGGCACAGCGAAUGAAUUUAGUGGUAGUGGAGGAAGCACUUUUCCAGAAGCCAAAAUGCGUAGCUCCUCGAAGUUGCCCUGACAGAAAUCAGCUCUGUUGCUCCCAUCUCGGGAGGUCCCAAACAUCCGUUUGCUUCUGUGCUAGGAACUUCGUACCCAUUUGCUGACCUCAGGCCGCAGGCAGCGUCCAUGCCUGCCGCCAGUGUGUCUUGAGCAGCCCAGUGGUUGGAGCUGACACAGCGCUGGGUGUGUGUGGGAGCAGGUGCCCCUCUCUUCCUUGACGGCCCAAUUUUGCACAAGCUCCUGAUUGUGGUCACUGUGGGACCAGCCCUGUGUCAGUCUCUCCCCUUUGAGCAGAUGUUUUUCCCAUGAAGGGAUGGGCAGAUGGGAGUGAGAAGGAAUUCUUGGAGAGCAAGCCAGUGAGCGCUGGGGCCUUGGCCGAGGAAAACCUCAGACCCAAGGGCUAGGCUGGGGUCCAGGUCUCUGUUGGUUGUGGAGGUUCGUGGGAGCGUGCCUUGAGCCUACCUCUUAGGUGAGAGCCGGAGACGUGAGGUGGGGAUGGCUUGUCAGGUUUGGUCAGGCCCAUGUGUGGGUGGAGAACUUGGCUGUGGCGAAGGAGUAGUGUCCUGCAUUUUAUGUUCCUGGCAUCUGUGGGGGGCCCACGGCUGCCUGGGGGGUGCUCUUUCGAGCUACUGUGCCCUUUGGCUGUAUCAAGGCUUGGUCCCCCAGUCCUCCUCUUCCCCUCUCCAACUGUGAGUCCACGGGCAGUUGUCACACUGGUGGGAUUCCUGUAACCUGGGCCCCAGCGGGGUGCAGCUCCGACUGCAGACUGCUGCCUGCACCUCGGCCGGGCCACCUUUGCUGGGAUGAGCCCACUCUCCUCUGAGCAGAAGCCCGCUCCUCGCUUUUCACCCACCCGAGUCUGCAGGGCGUUUCUGCUCAUUGGCCCCAGUGGGGUUCAAGGCAGGGCGUCCUCCAAGUAAAAUAUCGAGUCUGAAGAGCAGACCCUUAGAGGUGCUGCAGCGUCAAGUGCAUAUGGGGUGGCACGGAGGUGCCACCGGGCUGCCAAGGUGACGCUGGCUGGGCCCCUGCUUUCCUGAGCAGACGACAAGAAUUUCCAACCAAAUGCUUUAUUUGCAUUGGGAGCUGGGUCUAUUCCCAAGGCAAGGCACAUAAACGUUAUACUUGUUUUUGGCUGUUUCCCCAUCGCUUUUGCCAUGAGAGCAAAACCUCGAUCCUUCGUUCCCCACUCACCUGGAUGUCGCGGGAUCCUAUUUGCAGGCCGAUGGACCUCUCCCCUCACACUGUUUGGGAAAUGUGUUUACUUAACGUACUAGUCCAGUAAAAUUUAUUCUAGUUAGAAAGUCAACAAAUGUCUGUUUAGCUUUUAUGAAAAAUCUCUAGAGCAGCACCCAUGGCUGGAAUGAGGCCUGCGGAUCCUGGCAGCGUCCUGUUGGCUGGGUUUCUGAAGGAACUUGGAAGGUCAAACUGUAUUUCUGUAAAAACAAUUCCAGGGCUCUGGCUUGCUUCUCUGGGGAGCUGGUAUUUACAGCUGCUUAGUGGUUGUGCUGUGUUGUGUUGUGCUCUGGGGGCCCCCUGAGGUUUCCAGGUUGCCCCAACUCUAUCCUACUUGGGGACCUCAUCCCGAUCGCCCCCUGCUGCUCUGGCCGCUCUCCCUGCAGCCCCCACCUCCUGGGAGGGCUGUGCUCCUGCCUGUGAGCCAGUGGCCAGGAUGGCUGGGUGUGGCCAGGGAAACUGCAAGGUGCAGGUUUGUUCCCUAAGAAGCAGCCCUGAGAGGUGGUGUCUACCUUCUGUUUGCUCAUGGGGGUACUCUGGGUAGGAUCUGAAAUGUCCCUCCCUCCGGGUCCUGCGUCACCAUCUCUGGGAAGUCCAUGCGGUGGCUUCCACAGUGUAGCUGCCCUGCCCCCCUGAGGUCCCAGGGCUGAAUAGCACCGAGCAGUCUCCCCUCACCCUGGGGGACUCUGGGGGCAGGCAGCUUGCGUUCCUGGAUGCUGCUUCCUCCACACUCCCUUUGCAUCUUCUCUGGCCCUAAAUGUCUUUCCUGUUAUCGCUGUGCACAGUCUUGGGGCUCAAGGAUUUGCUCACGCUUCAUCGGUCCUUGUGACUAGACUCAUCCUAGUAUUUGGUGGUCAUGCUGGUGUUUGAGGCAUCCUGCAUGUCAUCUGGACACAGGAGAAGUGUUUACUGGACACGUCUCUGGCUCUGGGAACUGCCUGACUCACGGAAGAAACUAUACUUGUCAUCCUCUAGGGCACUCAGAUGCUUCUGCUCGCUUGAUGCUUGAAUACAGAUGCAGAAAGAGCUUGAGAUAGAAGGCCACAGCUAGAGUUUCUGUCCACACUGAUCAGUGGAACAUGGUAUUUCUUGAAAAGCAUUUUGUGGUCCAGCCUUGACACAGGGCCUUUUGGGCCCCUUUGAGCAUCUCAUCCAACCACGUCAUCUCCCAGAUGAGAAAUCUCUGCUCCAGUGAGGGGACAACAACUUGCUUGAGGUCACAUCACCAACUGGUGGCAAAGCUGGCAUUAGAACCCACAACCCAGGGCCCUUGCUUUGGCACCGCCUACAUGGUUGGUUCAAGUGGCUGCAUUUCUUGGGACCUGAGUUUUGUGGAAGCCAGUUAGCUGGUGUCUUGGCACUGACUGGGAGAGGUCAGCAGUCAGGGUGCUGUAGGGGCCUCAGUUUCUCUUCUUUUCAUCAGGUCGGAUAUUCUCUCAGAUUUCUUAGUGAGGGCCUUGGGGUUUCGGAUGCAGCUUGGGCAAAGGAAAUGAGGAGGGAAAGAGAUGUCAGUGGGUUGUGCCUCAGGGCUGUCGGCUCUUCCACUCUGGUCUAUAAGGGGGAUAGAGGCCAGGGCAGAGAUGCAGUUAACCAACCUUCAGUUUCCCCUUUUCAAGUUAAAAAGUGUAAAAGAAAACUCUGGUUUUCCUAGAUCCUUCAACAAGGGUCGUUAGAUUAGUAAAAACGUAGACUCAAGUGAUGAGGUGAGACAACAGCCUGUUUCAGUUUCUUACCCUGACUGUUCAAGGUGCCGACGCAAACACUACCUUCUUCAUUCAAUUCGGAGUCAACAGAGACAGGUCUGUUGUGGGGGAAUGGUUGGGAUUCAGGUCGAUCUUACGGCUGCAGGUGGCCAGCAGGGACCUGGCCAGUCAGCCAUGCUUGGGACCCUCCGGCUCCUCCCCCAGCCUCUCUCCAGCCACCCCUUUCUCAAAGGCAAGGGUGGGUCAGUGGAGUUUGUCAAGGUGAUCCCUGCAGCCUGCUGGGGGGCUAGUUGGAGCAUUCCUCUACAAGCUCUGAUGCCUGUUUUACCCCCAGCCUCUUGCCCACCCCAACCCCACGUCGCCCUGCUUUCAGUUUAGCCAUGUGCCUCUUUGGGAGGAAGGAGACAGGCCCUGCUAAGGCCAAGGAUAGUGGAGCCCCGCCUAGUGAGAGGCUGUUGGGGCAGUGGCUCUGUCCUGUGCCUUACCAUCCCUGGGGAGAGGCUGUUUGGCCGGAAGACUGGAAUUUAAAUGCCAUCGUCUUUGAUAUUGUGACAUUUCCGCUUGGAAGGGUCCACCCCCCUUCCCGCUCCUUCGCAUGUGUGCCAACUCCCCCCUGUCCUGGCGUUCUUCCACACUCCAGCCGGGGAGUGCUGACGUUUAAGUGUGAGGAGAUUCCUCUGUGUGGUAGAACCUAAGAAGUGUAGCUUGGAAAUGAUCCACGUGAUGGUGAGUUUCUUUUUUCCCUCUUCCUGAGGUGAUUUGUAGACCCUGACUGCCUAUGUAAUGUAAAUAGUGUACAUUUAAUUUAUUGCUAUGGUAGCACAUUGUAUUUGUUAAUGUAUAAAACAAAUUCUAAAAGGUCAACAAAUGUAUAUUUUGUUGCUUAAAUGUGUCUUUGCAGAAAUUGACAAUAAAUAACAUAUUUUGUGUCCA